AACGCACAUUGCGCCCAUUAGUAUUCUAGUGGGCAUGCCUGUUCGAGCGUCAUUUCAACUAUCAAGCCCUAUUUGCUUGGCGUUGGGAGCUUGCCCUACCCUGUAGGACAACUCCUCAAAUAUAUUGGCGGAGUCGCGAAGACCCCAAGCGUAGUAAUCUUUUCUCGCUUCAGGUGUGUCUGCGCUGGCAUCCAGCCAUUAAACCCCUAAUUUUUUUAGUCUUGACCUCGGAUCAGGUAGGAAUACCCGCUGAACUUAA
rnacentral:misc_RNA from 1 species